rnacentral:rRNA from 1 species
UGGGGAAUCUUGGACAAUGGGGGCAACCCUGAUCCAGCGACGCCGCGUGGGUGGUAAGGCCUUCGGGUUGUAAAGCCCUUUCACCGGGGAAGAUGAUGACAUUACCCGGAGAAGAAGCGCCGGCUAACUCCGUGCCAGCAGCCGCGGUAAGACGGAGGGCGCUAGCGUUGUUCGGAAUCACUGGGCGUAAAGGGCGCGUAGGCGGCUGUUUAAGUCGAGGGUGAAAGCCCGGGGCUCAACCCCGGAACGGCCUUCGAGACUGGGCAGCUCGAGACCGGAAGAGGAGGGUGGAAUACCCAGUGUAGAGGUGAAAUUCGUAGAUAUUGGGAGGAAUACCGGUGGCGAAGGCGACCGCCUGGACGGGUACUGACACUGAGGCGCGAAAGCGUGGGGAGCAAACAGGAUUAGAUACCCGUGUAGUCC